CGGGGAGCACCACAACGGGUGGAGCCUGCGGUUUAAUUGGACUCAACGCCGGGCAGCUCACCGGAUAAGACAGCUGGAUGAUAGCCGGGCUGAAGACUCCGCUUGACUAGCUGAGAGGAGGUGCAUGGCCGUCGUCAGUUCGUACUGUGAAGCAUCCUGUUAAGUCAGGCAACGAGCGAGACCCACGCCAACAGUUGCCAGCAUGUCCUCCGGGAUGAUGGGGACACUGUUGGGACCGCCUCUGCUAAAGAGGAGGAAGGAAUGGGCAACGGUAGGUCAGCAUGCCCCGAAUUAUCCGGGCUACACGCGGGCUACAAUGGUCAGGACAAUGGGUAUCGACACCGAGAGGUGGAGGCAAUCUCCUAAACCAAUCUUAGUUCGGAUUGAGGGCUGCAACUCGCCCUCAUGAAGCUGGAAUCCGUAGUAAUCGCGUUUCAACAGAACGCGGUGAAUACGUCCCUGCUCCUU
rnacentral:rRNA from 1 species